UGUGUGUGUGUGUGUACCUCGAAGCAAUGACCUAAUUACAUACUCCGGCUGUGUUUAUUGCUCAUUACACAGUUGACUCUUAACGAGUCACUUUGUACACAUUAAUCACAAUAUUACUGAAAUAAACACACACACACACAGAGGGAGAGAUUUUUUCAGUUUUUCAUUACCAUCAUUCAUCAGCCAUUCCUGUAUUUAAUAUGAAUUCAGUUCUGUUUUACGUGUGUUAGCGUGUGUUAGUAUGUAAACGUGUAUUAGAGUGUAUUGGUGUGUGUUAGUAUGUAAAAGUGUAUGUUAGUGUGUAUUAGAGUGCAUUAGUGUGUUUUAGUAUGUAAAAGUGUGUUAGUGUGUAUUAGAGUGUAUUGGUCUGCAUUAGUGUGUGUUAGUGUGUAUUAGAGUGUAUUGGUCUGCAUUAGUGUGUGUUAGUGUGUAUUAGAGUGUAUUGGUCUGCGUUAGUGUGUAUUAGAGUGUAUUGGUCUGCAUUAGUGUGUGUUAGUGUGUUUUAGUAUGUAAAAGUGUGUUAGUGUGUAUUAGAGUGUAUUGAUCUGCAUUAGUGUGUGCUAGUGUGUAUUAGAGUGUAUUGGUCUGCAUUAGUGUGUGUUAGUGUGUAUUAGAGUGUAUUGGUCUGCAUUAGUGUGUGUUAGUGUGUGUUAGUGUGUAUUAGAGUGUAUUGGUCUGCAUUAGUGUGUGUUAGUGUGUAUUAGUGUAUUGAGUGCAUUAGUGUGUGUUAGUGUGUUUUAGUAUGUAAAAGUGUGUUAGUGUGUAUUAGAGUGUAUUGAUCUGCAUUAGUGUGUACUAGUGUGUAUUAGAGUGUAUUGGUCUGCAUUAGUGUGUGCAUUAGUGUGUGUUAGUGUGUAUUAGAGUGUAUUGGUCUGCAUUAGUGUGUUAGUGUAUUAGUGUGUAUUUCAUUGUGCUAGUGUGUACUAGUGUGUAUUAGAGUGUAUUGGUGUGCAUUAGUGUGUGUUAGUGUGUAUUAGAGUGUAUUGGUGUGUGUUAGUAUGUAAAAGUGUAUGUUAGUGUGUAUUAGAGUGCAUUAGUGUGUUUUAGUAUGUAAAAGUGUGUUAGUGUGUAUUAGAGUGUAUUGGUCUGCAUUAGUGUGUGUUAGUGUGUAUUAGAGUGUAUUGGUCUGCAUUAGUGUGUGUUAGUGUGUUUUAGUAUGUAAAAGUGUGUUAGUGUGUAUUAGAGUGUAUUGGUCUGCAUUAGUGUGUGUUAGUGUGUAUUAGAGUGUAUUGAUCUGCAUUAGUGUGUGUUAGUGUGUAUUAGAGUGUAUUGGUCUGCAUUAGUGUGUGUUAGUGUGUAUUAGAGUGUAUUGGUCUGCAUUAGUGUGUGCAUUAGUGUGUGCAUUAGUGUGUGCUAGUGUGUAUUAGAGUGUAUUGGUCUGCAUUAGUGUGUGUUAGUGUGCAUUAGUGUAUUGGUCUGCAUUAGUGUGUGUUAGUGUGUUUUAGUAUGUAAAAGUGCAUUAGUGUGUAUUAGAGUGUAUUGGUCUGCAUUAGUGUGUGUUAGUGUGUAUUAGAGUGUAUUGGUCUGCAUUAGUGUGUUAGUGUAUUAGUGUGUAUUUGAUUGUGCUAGUGUGUACUAGUGUGUAUUAGAGUGUAUUGGUCUGCAUUAGUUUGUACUAGUGUGUAUUAGAGUGUAUUGUCUGCAUUAGUGUGUGCAUUAGUGUGUAUUAGUGUGUAUUAGAGUGUAUUGGUCUGCAUUCGUGUGUGCUAGUGUGUACUAGUGUGUAUUAGAGUGUAUUGGUGUGCAUUAGUGUGUGUUAGUGUGUAUUAGUGUGUAUUAGAGUGU
ensembl:lncRNA